GAUGAACGCUGGCGGCGUGCCUAAUACAUGCAAGUCGAACGAAGAUCUAGCUUGCUAGAUCUUAGUGGCGAACGGGUGAGUAAUACAUAAAUAAUCUGCCCAUAUGACUGGGAUAACUAUUGGAAACGAUAGCUAAUACCGGAUAGGUUGAUCGGAGGCAUCUCUGAUGAAUUAAAGUAGGAUUUCUACACAAAUGGAUGAGUUUAUGGCGCAUUAGUUAGUUGGUGGGGUAACGGCCUACCAAGACGAUGAUGCGUAGCCGACCUGAGGGGGUGACCGGCCACACUGGGACUGAGACACGGCCCAGACUCCUACGGGAGGCAGCAGUAGGGAAUUUUCGGCAAUGGGCGCAAGCCUGACCGAGCAACGCCGCGUGAGUGAUUAAGGCCUUCGGGUUGUAAAGCUCUGUUGUGAGGGAAGAACAUUCAGGAUAGGAAAUGAUCUUGAACUGACGGUACCUUACCAGAAAGCCACGGCUAACUACGUGCCAGCAGCCGCAGUAA
rnacentral:rRNA from 1 species